AGCCCUAGCUUAGUGGUAGAGCAUCUGUUUUGCAUGCAGGAGGUCCCAGGUUCCAUCAGCAGGUAGAGUUA